UACGAAGGGGGCGAGCGUUGUUCGGAUUUACUGGGCGUAAAGGGCGCGCAGGCGGCCGCAUUUGUCAGGCGUGAAAGCCCCGGGCUUAACCUGGGAACUGCGUUUGAUACGGUGUGGCUAGAGUUCGGGAGAGGAGAGUGGAAUUCCCAGUGUAGAGGUGAAAUGCGUAGAUAUCGUGAGGAACACCAGUGGCGAAGGCGACACUCUGGAGAGCAACUGACGCUGAGGCACGAAGGCCAGGGGAGCAAACGGG
rnacentral:rRNA from 1 species